rnacentral:ncRNA from 1 species
AAUAGACUUGGUCCUGGUCUUUCUAUUGGCUACUAGCAAGAUUACACAUGCAAACAUCCUCGCACCGGUGAAGACGCCCUAUAGAUCACUGUGAUAAAAAGGAGCAAGUAUCAAGCACGCACAUGCAGCUCAAAACACUUUGCCNAGCCACACCCCCACGGGAGACAGCAGUGACGAAUCUUUAGCAAUAAACGAAAGUUUAACUAAGCUAUGCUACAUCAAGGGUUGGUCAAUUUCGUGCCAGCCACCGCGGUCACACGAUUAACCCUAGUCAACAGAAAUCGGCGUAGAGGGUGUUUAAGACACAAUACAAUAAAGCUAAACUCCACCUAAACUGUAAAACCCUAGCUGAUGUAAAAUAAACUACGAAAGUGGCUUUAAGACUUCUGAACACACAACAGCUAAGGCCCAAACUGGGAUUAGACACCCCACUAUGCUUAGCCCUAAACCUCAAUAGUUAGACAACAAAACUANUCGCCAGAAUACUACAAGCAACAGCUUNAAACUCAAAGGACUUGGCGGUGCUUNANAUUCCCCCUAGAGGAGCCUGUUCCNUAAUCGAUAAACCCCGAUCCACCCCACCNUCUCUUGCUNAGCCUAUAUACCGCCAUCUUCAGCAAACCCUGAUGAAGGCUACAAAGUGAGCGCAAAUGCCCCCGCCGCAAAAACGUUAGGUCAAGGUGUAGCCNAUGNGANGGUAAAAAAUGGGCUACAUUUUCUACCCCAGAAAACCCNACGAUANCUCUUAUGAAANCUAAGAGUCCAAGGAGGAUUUAGCAGUNAAUCAAGAAUAGAGUGCUUGAUUGAACUAGGCCAUGAAGCGCGUACACACCGCCCGUCACUCCUCUCAAAUAUAUUUAAGGAACAUCUUAACUAAAUACUCCAAUAUUUAUACAGAGAGGAUAAGUCGUAACACGGUAAGUGUACUGGAAGGUGCACUUGGAUAAAU